rnacentral:rRNA from 1 species
AUUGAACGCUGUCGGCAGGCCUAACACAUGCAAGUCGAACGAGUGGCGGACGGGUGAGUAAUGUCUGGGAAACUGCCUGAUGGAGGGGGAUAACUACUGGCAACGGUAGAUAAUACCGCAUACCAUCAGAUGUGCCCAGAUGGGAGUAGCUUGUUGGUGGGGUAACGGCUCACCAAGGCGACGCUCCCUAACUGGUCUGAGAGGAUGACGAGCCACGCUGGAACUGAGAAAAGGACCAGACUCCUAGGGGAGGCAGCAGUGGGGAAUAUUGCACAGUGGGCAAAAGCCUGAUGCAGCCAUGCCGCGUGUAUGAAGAAGGCCUUCGGGUUGUAAAGUACUUUCAGCGGGGAGGCGUUACCCGCAGAAGAAGCACCGGCUAACUCCGUGCCAGCCGCCGCGGUAAUUC